GGGGAAUAUUGCACAAUGGGGGAAACCCUGAUGCAGCGACGCCGCGUGAAGGAUGAAGUAUUUCGGUAUGUAAACUUCUAUCAGCAGGGAAGAAAAUGACGGUACCUGACUAAGAAGCCCCGGCUAACUACGUGCCAGCAGCCGCGGUAAUACGUAGGGGGCAAGCGUUAUCCGGAUUUACUGGGUGUAAAGGGAGCGUAGACGGUUAUGUAAGUCUGAUGUGAAAACCCGGGGCUCAACCCCGGGACUGCAUUGGAAACUAUGUAACUAGAGUGUCGGAGAGGUAAGUGGAAUUCCUAGUGUAGCGGUGAAAUGCGUAGAUAUUAGGAGGAACACCAGUGGCGAAGGCGGCUUACUGGACGAUCACUGACGUUGAGGCUCGAAAGCGUGGGGAGCAAAC
rnacentral:rRNA from 1 species